ACUUUGGCUGAGGCAAAGACAGGGAAGCUUAGAGAGGAUGAUGGAGAGGAAGAGGAUGAGAGUUGGAAGAAUGAACUAAAGAUCAGAAACUUUUCUUCUCAGAGUCCAACUGGUCCAUGAUGAUUUGGGGAAGAACCUGCAGAAAGAGAGGGCAGGAAAUUAGCAAGAUUCUAAAAUCAGAACAAAGUGAACCAGCAUGUUCAAAGGAACUGAAAUUUUGAGAGCCAGGACACAUAGAUGGGUUUCUCUACAAGCGGCUUUGCAGCAGUGUUUCCAAAGUUUCAUCCACACAUCCUGGCGGCGAGUAACCAUUGGGAAAUUACAUGGUGACUUUAGGGCCACAGAGAGGAGAAUCAGAAGAUGACAGGAACUCACUUGGGAAUGGAGAAGUGAUGUUACGGCUGCCAGUGUCAAAAUCAGACCCACUGUAUAAACACAGACUUUCAUACAUAUGAGAACCAUGGGACUGGACAUUGGUAGAGUCCAUUCCUCCUUGGCCCACUCCGUCUUGGAAACUCAAAGGAGGAACACUUUACAGUAGUGUUCCAUACACUCUACCUCUAACUCCCAGUACUGAAUUUAGUGGAACUCCAACCACAGUUCCUCCUACCCAAACAGACAGUUCCUUGUGAGUGUCUCAGAGGGACCCUUAGACAGGACAGCCUCCUCAUUCACUGGUGAAAGAUUUUCCAGAGCCAAAGCUCUUGCUUCCAUGGCUGUCACCUGUAAGGGUUGCUGGUACCAGCUGCUUUUCUGAAGCCACUGCAACCUCCCCAUUCCCCUGCAGUAGUCUCCAUUGUGAGACCUCAGCCAGAAUGACCUUGUGCUCUGUUUCCCUGCAAUGGCUGAUGUUCUGGUGUCACUCCCUGUGCUGAAAGCCAAGCUGAUUUCUCCAUGUCUCUGAGUAAUUCAGAUCAUUUUACAAUGAAUUAGCAAGUGAGUUUGUUAUUGCAGUGCGGAGGAGGAGGGAUAGGAAGCACUUUCAGAGUUCCUUUUAGUUUUCCCUGAGUCUACUGAGACCCCUGAAAGAAAACUUACUGCCUGUAGCUUGGAAAUGUUGCUGUGUAUCCAAGAAGCUGCCACUCUGCUCAUUGGCAAGGCUACGUCUAUGGCUAUAUUAAUCCACCUUUCGCAUCAUUGUCCUCAUACCGCGGAACUAGGACAGAGUCACCCAGAAGGAAGUAUGGGUACUGUAGUUUAUCCAAGGUCACUAGGCUAGUCCUUUGGUCCUGUGUAGCUAGGAUUGGCUGCGUAAUAUGUAGGGUGCAGUGCAAAAUAAAAAUGUCAGGCCUCUGUUGAAAAAUUAUUGAUAAUUUCUAAAUGGCAACAGGUGAGCAUCAAACCAAACUCAGGCCCUAUGCAAUCAUACAAGUCAUGUGCUUAUGAAGCCAAAGCCAUUCUCAGCGUAGCUUUUAUUUGAAGCCUCUAGUUUUCACAGUGGAGUGGCUAAAAGAGGUAAGUUAUUUGAGGGUUGUGCAAGAAAGUUUAGGAAGGAGAGAUGACAGCUGGCUGCUUUUAGCAGGACAUUCUUUGUAAGUGGGUAGCACCUGUGGGUCACUAUGAAAAACAGGCGCCAUCCAAAGUACUUUCCAUAUGUUAAAUCAUUUCAUAUACAUACUUACACAUGAAUAAUGUGUAUCUAUUAAAUCAUGAAUCCUCACAACAACCAUUUAAAGUGGGUGCUGUUGUUUCUCUAUGCUUUUAUAGGUAAGGAAACCGAGGCACAAUAGAGUUAAAUGAAAUGCUGAUUUAAAGUUUGGUUCUCAACUUUCUAAUAGAAACCCUCUAUUGUUGAAGUGAACUUGGAGCUUACUAGACCAUGAGGGACUGAAUCAUGCUAAACUCACAGAAAAUUGAUGUAUAUGCAACAAAACAAAUUUAUCCCUAUAAAAUGAGAGGCACUACCAUCCCAGUAACUGAGAUAUUUAUUUCUAUGACCCAAGAUACCCCUUUUGAGUAUUAAGGUGCCUGGGGUGACUGAAGUAAGAGUCAGAAGUUUGCUCAGUGAUCACAGAAUCAAAACAAAGCGAAUUGCAAAAUCUCAGGGGAGAUGCUGACCAAACUGAGAUAGAAUCUGAGAAAUCAUCCCUGUGCUUAAUACUUUUCUUCCUGGUGGAUGAAGUACUCUUGUCUGCUAAAUACAGGGUCUUAAUUCAUGCACGGUGUUCAGUUCUCCUUUGCAGGAGUCAUCCCCACCACCUCAUGUCAAGUCAGUUACAGCACAACUGAAUAGGCUGCACCCUUCUUAAUGUUGCUGUGCUCUGGUCUAUGGUGUGAUCCCAAACAUCAUGAUCCCAGCAGUAGCUGGUUUACAAACCAACUCUGAGGAUGCCACAUCCAUAGAAAACCUGUCAUUUUCUUCUGGUUUCUACUUCAAAGUGUGAACUGAAUCUGGGCCACCAUGUGCUCCCUAAACUUAGCAUUUAAGUAGCUCUGAUGAGGAGCAGAAUGUUAAUGUGUUAAAAUGAGAUUAUGUUGGUUCCCUUACAAAUUUAGGAUAAAGAUGCUAGGCUGGCCCUUUGAAGGUAAAUUAACUCCUCAGAAGCACCUACUUGUGUGGCAUUAAGUAAUCAAACAACAAAACUACACUUGGAUGGGUUUAAAGUGGGACUGAAAAAGUAGACAAAAAGUAGAUGACUUUUGCAUCAUCAGGGAAUUGAUUUUUUGCUUUGUUUGUAACUCUCCACUUGAAAGUUGUCUUUUUCCUGCCAAAUUCAGGGUGAUUCAUAAAACUAUCUUCUCUUAAUGUGAAGAGAAAUUGCUGGAGGUUGUUUUGAAGGGCAUCUUUGGGAACCACUUUAACAAGUAGCUGAAUAAGGAAAAGGAGGAUGAUGAUCGCUGACAUAAAAAAUGCUUACUAUAUAGGUGGCAGGCAUUGUGCUAACUGGAUUAAAUAUUAUUUUUUAACAACCCUAUGAGACUAUUCUCAUUUUACUGAGAGAAAACGGAUUUGGGGCCAGCAAUGGUGGGAGAAAAUGGUGAUGAUUCUUAAACUCUGAACUUCAAGCAUUAAGAAUUGGCUGCAAUAGAAAACUGGUCCUAGAUGGUCCCAAGUGGCCCAUCAUGAGCCAGAUACUAGUGGGGGAUAUAGGGAGGACCAGAGGCCACAGAGAACCACGUGAUGAAUGUAGAAGAAAGAGGGUUUUAAAAGGGCCAGGGCAGAGGUGUUCCUGUAGGAUUAGGCACACAUAGACCAAGCUCUCCUGAGAUCCCUCACUGAGAAGGAAUUGGAAAGAACACCAGAAUAAUGUACUCCCUAGUUCGAUGUGGAUAUUAAUUGUAACUGAUUAUGUGUAUACAUUUAUGCUUAAGUUAACUGUGAGUAAAUUGGUUGUAUGUCA
rnacentral:lncRNA from 1 species